rnacentral:piRNA from 1 species
UCAAGUAGGAUAAGGCCCCUCAGCUA